rnacentral:rRNA from 1 species
UACGUAGGGUGCAAGCGUUGUCCGGAAUUAUUGGGCGUAAAGAGCUUGUAGGCGGUUUGUCGCGUCUGCUGUGAAAUUUCGGGGCUCAACCCCAAGCUUGCGGUCGAUACGGGCAGGCUCGAGUUCGGUAGGGGAGACUGGAAUUCCUGGUGUAGCGGUGAAAUGCGCAGAUAUCAGGAGGAACACCGGUGGCGAAGGCGGGUCUCUGGGCCGAUACUGACGCUGAGGAGCGAAAGCGUGGGGAGCGAACAGG